CUUAGUCUGCCCCAGCCUGUGGGUUGUGGGGAGAGGGAACAGCUGAAGCUGCCGCCUUCUGUCCAGACCAUGUUAUGUUACGGCCAAAAAUAGGAGCUUAGGAGGAGGGAUGGUUUUGCUUUUCUUCCCCUGGACUGGGCUCCUCUGGUUUUCAAGGCUUGGUCUUGUUGGUGGCUGGCUGACUUGUUUUCCGGGGCAUUGACCGAAGCAACUAGUCUCGGAAAGCCCAUCCCUCCCUCUCCACUAUGCAUCUUCCCAUUAUAGCAAAGCAGAUUCACAUGGACCUAGACACUAUAGCAUCCCAGCAUCUCCCCCAGUGUGGUUUCACUUCCUCGUGUUCUAGCCUCAAAGCUGCUACAGGAUCCUUUGCAUACUGAUUUUCCAGACCAACACUGCUAUAUCUUUGAAUACACAAAGAGUGUGAAGAUUGUGACCCUUACAUGGAAGGGCAAAAGUUCUUGGAGUUUCUGUGUGUGUUGGACUCAUUCAACAGUGGAGGAGUAUCACACAGUUCCAGUGCUGGCUCAUGCUGCUGAAUAAUCCCCUGUACUGUAUUGAAUACCAAGAUAAAAACAAGGUGGUUUGGGAAGAGAUUGUGUUUUACACCAUAGGCUGGCAGCUGGUAACAUUUAGAUCUUUUUAAAAAUGAAAGGUAAUUGCUCUAAUAUCAUUUGAGAAACAGGAAACAAGUCUCUCUCUUUUGUGAAAUGUAGGUAUAAUGGUAAUCAGUUACUUUGGAUACCCAUAGAACUAUAAUGAUAACUUCAACUCCUCCUCCUUUUACUCCCAUUUAGGAAGUAUAUAGCUUUCCUCUGAGGCGGAAAGAGUUUGUCUUCCCCAAAGUCACCCAGUGGCUUUCCACCACUGAUGGGGGAUUCGAACCCUAUUUUCCAGAGUUG